rnacentral:misc_RNA from 1 species
AACCGAAUUGACUCGGUUAGGUUCCGUUCGGUUUCAACCGAAUUCUGCUCAGCCCUACAAGCAAGGAUGAACACUAAAGUCUUCAAAACCCAACAGAAACAUAAGGAAAUCCAAGAAUGCUAGUCAUCAAAUCAAUCAAACGAUGGCAAGUUGGUCAACUGCCCAGCUGCUUACUAAUGCAAACAGGCAGUUGCCAGAUUUAUAAUUCAUUUGUAGCUGGUUCACAUGGCACGUAUUACAGGUCAUUGCUUGCUUAAUUAGGAAUUUUGUAUCAUCAAACUAUUUAUUGAAUAAUGAGUAUAAUGAUCGUGAUGAAGAUAUUCAUUUUUGUAUUGAAAAUAAAAUAAAAAGGCAUGAGAUAUCGAAAGAAAUACAUCAGAAACCCAAAUUGAAAAGGAGAAAUAAGAGCUCAAGGAAUCAUGAAGGAAAGAAAAUUCAACCAAAACAUGUGUCAAUCAAAAGUAAUGCGUUACAUGAAGGUCAAAAAAACAAGCAAUACUUUCACACACUAGUCUAAAAGCUGGGAAACUAUUAAAUAAGAAAAUUGAAAAGAGAGAGUCUUCACUUUGAUUUAGGGCCUAGUUGAAAAGUUAAUUGUAUUAUUUUAUUCACAUUUCUACAUAUUAUAACAAGUAUUUGACAACAUGAACAUAUAUUAUGAAAUUACCAACCAUAGCCUAAAUAAAUUUGUCCUAAUUGUUAUUACUAUAAUUAAGGCGAAAGGCGACAAGGUACCCUAUGGCCUUUUUGAAGCAAGGCGCCAU